CAAACGGCUCUUUUCAGAACCACUCAAAUAUUUAUUACGAAAGGAA
rfam:Harpegnathos saltator strain R22 G/1 HarSal_1.0_1.contig1356, whole genome shotgun sequence.